rnacentral:rRNA from 1 species
GACUCGUCACACUAUCAUUAACUGAAUCCAUAGGUUAAUGAGGCGAACCGGGGGAACUGAAACAUCUAAGUACCCCGAGGAAAAGAAAUCAACCGAGAUUCCCCCAGUAGCGGCGAGCGAACGGGGAGGAGCCCAGAGCCUGAAUCAGCAUGUGUGUUAGUGGAAGCGUCUGGAAAGGCGCGCGAUACAGGGUGACAGCCCCGUACACAAAAGCGCAUGUGCUGUGAGCUCGAUGAGUAGGGCGGGACACGUGGUAUCCUGUCUGAAUAUGGGGGGACCAUCCUCCAAGGCUAAAUACUCCUGACUGACCGAUAGUGAACCAGUACCGUGAGGGAAAGGCGAAAAGAACCCCGGCGAGGGGAGUGAAAAAGAACCUGAAACCGUGUACGUACAAGCAGUGGGAGCCCCACCACUAAGCCAGUGGUGAACUCCACAUACGCAUCCUUUGCUGAGGAUACGGUUAACGGAGCGAAAGCGACGUUCAACCGCAAAAGAAGCAGAGGGGGCUUAGUGGUGGGGUGACUGCGUACCUUUUGUAUAAUGGGUCAGCGACUUAUAUUCUGUAGCAAGGUUAACCGAAUAGGGGAGCCGGAGGGAAACCGAGUCUUAAUUGGGCGUUAAGUUGCAGGGUAUAGACCCGAAACCCGGUGAUCUAGCCAUGGGCAGGUUGAAGGUUGGGUAACACUAACUGGAGGACCGAACCGACUAAUGUUGAAAAAUUAGCGGAUGACCUGUGGCUGGGGGUGAAAGGCCAAUCAAACCGGGAGAUAGCUGGUUCUCCCCGAAAGCUAUUUAGGUAGCGCCUCGUGAAUUCAUCUCCGGGGGUAGAGCACUGUUUCGGCUAGGGGGCCAUCCCGGCUUACCAACCCGAUGCAAACUGCGAAUACCGGAGAAUGUUAUCACGGGAGACACACGGCGGGUGCUAACGUCCGUCGUGAAGAGGGAAACAACCCAGACCGCCAGCUAAGGUCCCAAAGUCAUGGUUAAGUGGGAAACGAUGUGGGAAGGCCCAGACAGCCAGGAUGUUGGCUUAGAAGCAGCCAUCAUUUAAAGAAAGCGUAAUAGCUCACUGGUCGAGUCGGCCUGCGCGGAAGAUGUAACGGGGCUAAACCAUGCACCGAAGCUGCGGCAGCGAACGUAUCACCCAAGACAACUUUACGGAGUUGACGAUUGACGGAGCGAAGCGACGUCAAAGCGUUCAUUAAAGUCGAGUUGGCUUAGGGAUACGUUCGUUGGGUAGGGGAGCGUUCUGUAAGCCUGUGAAGGUGUGUCGUGAGGCAUGCUGGAGGUAUCAGAAGUGCGAAUGCUGACAUAAGUAACGAUAAAGCGGGUGAAAAGCCCGCUCGCCGGAAGACCAAGGGUUCCUGUCCAACGUUAAUCGGGGCAGGGUGAGUCGACCCCUAAGGCGAGGCCGAAAGGCGUAGUCGAUGGGAAACGGGUUAAUAUUCCCGUACUUGGUGUUACUGCGAAGGGGGGACGGAGAAGGCUAUGUUGGCCGGGCGACGGUUGUCCCGGUUUAAGCGUGUAGGUGUGUGUUCCAGGUAAAUCCGGUUCACUUUAACACUGAGGCGUGACGACGAGGCACUACGGUGCUGAAGCAACAAAUGCCCUGCUUCCAGGAAAAGCCUCUAAGCAUCAGGUAACAUCAAAUCGUACCCCAAACCGACACAGGUGGUCAGGUAGAGAAUACCAAGGCGCUUGAGAGAACUCGGGUGAAGGAACUAGGCAAAAUGGUGCCGUAACUUCGGGAGAAGGCACGCUGACACGUAGGUGAAGUGAUUUACUCA